GAUGAACGCUAGCUACAGGCUUAACACAUGCAAGUCGAGGGGCAGCAUGAACUUAGCUUGCUAAGUUUGAUGGCGACCGGCGCACGGGUGAGUAACACGUAUCCAACCUUCCGUUUACUCAGGGAUAGCCUUUCGAAAGAAAGAUUAAUACCUGAUAGUAUGGUGAGAUUGCAUGAUAGCACCAUUAAAGAUUUAUUGGUAAACGAUGGGGAUGCGUUCCAUUAGGUAGUAGGCGGGGUAACGGCCCACCUAGCCGACGAUGGAUAGGGGUUCUGAGAGGAAGGUCCCCCACAUUGGAACUGAGACACGGUCCAAACUCCUACGGGAGGCAGCAGUGAGGAAUAUUGGUCAAUGGGCGAGAGCCUGAACCAGCCAAGUAGCGUGAAGGAUGAAGGUCCUACGGAUUGUAAACUUCUUUUAUACGGGAAUAAAGUAUCCUACGUGUAGGAUUUUGUAUGUACCGUAUGAAUAAGCAUCGGCUAACUCCGUGCCAGCAGCCGCGGUAAUACGGAGGAUGCGAGCGUUAUCCGGAUUUAUUGGGUUUAAAGGGAGCGCAGACGGGAGAUUAAGUCAGUUGUGAAAGUUUGCGGCUCAACCGUAAAAUUGCAGUUGAUACUGGUUUCCUUGAGUGCAGUUGAGGCAGGCGGAAUUCGUGGUGUAGCGGUGAAAUGCUUAGAUAUCACGAAGAACCCCGAUUGCGAAGGCAGCUUGCUAAACUGUAACUGACGUUCAUGCUCGAAAGUGUGGGUAUCAAACAGGAUUAGAUACCCUGGUAGUCCACACGGUAAACGAUGGAUACUCGCUGUUGGCGAUAUACUGUCAGCGGCCAAGCGAAAGCAUUAAGUAUCCCACCUGGGGAGUACGCCGGCAACGGUGAAACUCAAAGGAC
rnacentral:rRNA from 1 species